rnacentral:rRNA from 1 species
UGUGUUUUUGCCGGCUUCUAAUCUCUGGCCUCUUUUUCAAAGUGGCCUUUACACUUUUGAUACUUGACCUCAAAUCAGGUAGGAUUACCCGCUGAACUUAA